GGCUCAGGAUGAACGCUGGCGGCGUGCCUAACACAUGCAAGUCGUACGAGCUCGAUCUUCGGAACGGGUUAGUGGCGCACGGGUGAGUAACACGUAGGUGACCUACCCCAGAGUGGGGGAUAACUUCUCGAAAGAGAGGCUAAUACCGCAUACACUCGGUCAUUCCUUUGACCGAGCAAAGCUCCGGCGCUUUGGGACGGGCCUGCGUCCAUUAGCUAGUUGGUAGGGUAAUGGCUUACCAAGGCUUUGAUCGGUAGCUGGUUUGAGAGGACGAUCAGCCACACUGGCACUGACACACCGGGCCAGACUCCCUACGGGAGGCAGCAGUGAGGAAUAUUGGGCAAUGGGCGAAAGCCCUGACUCAGCAACGCCGCGUGAGGGAUGAAGGCCUUCCGGUCGUAAACCUCUUUUCUGGGAGAAGAGACAAGGACCGUAUCCCCGGAAUAAGUCUCGGCUAACUACGUGCCAGCAGCCGCGGUAAUACGUAGGAGGCAAGCGUUAUCCGGAUUCACCUGGGCGUAAAGCGCACGCCGCGGUCAUGUAAGUCCGACGUGAAAGCUCCUGGCUCAACUGGGAGAGGUCGUUCGAUA
rnacentral:rRNA from 1 species